rfam:[Clostridium] sordellii strain JGS6382 genome assembly, chromosome: 1
CUAAAAGCUAUGAUGAGAAAGAGUAAAGUUAAUAUAAUCUUACAGAGAGUUCCCGGUUGGUGAGAGGGGCAAAAGAUAAGUUAAUUUGAAUACGUCUCUAAGCUGCACUCCGAAAGAUAACACCCAGUAGGCAGUUGCCGGAUGUUGCACACGUUAUAGUGCUAGAGUAUCCCAAUUAUUGGCGUACUUGAAGAGGUUGUUAUUGUGAGAUAACAAUAAAUUAAGGUGGUAACACGUGAGUAAUACUCUCGUCCUUUUC